GACAGAGGCCUCAAGCGUUAGGCGGAAUCACUGGGCUUAAAGCGUGUGUAGGCGGACGCCUAAGUGUCUUGUGAAAUCCCCCGGCUCACCCGGGGAACGUGCUGGGCAUACUGGGCGUCUUGGGCCAACUAGGGGCAACUGGAACAAGCGGUGGAGCGGUGAAAUGCGUAGAUAUCGCUUGGAACGCCGAAGGUGAAAACAGGUUGCUGGGGUUGUGCCGACGCUGAGACACGAAAGCCAGGGGAGCAAACGGG
rnacentral:rRNA from 1 species